AUGGCCUCCCCAGUCCGCUCACCGCCACCGGAGCCGGCCGCGGAGGCACAACCACCUCCUCCUUCUUCGCCCCCAUCACAGCUUCCGGCUACCGACCCCUUUCGCCUCUCGCCGGAUAACCCAAGCUCAGCUCCUCCCCUUCCUGCUGCACCUACAACUACUGCUCCGGCGCCAUCUACCGGCCCCUUUCCCCUCUCGCCGGAUAACCCAACCCCAGCUCCUCCCCUUCCUGCUGCACCUGCAACUACUGCUCCGGCGCCAUCUAUCGACCCCUUCCGCCUCUCGCCGGACAAUCCAACCCCAGCUCCUCCCCUUCCUGCUGCACCAACAGUUACUGCUCCGCCGCCGGAUGGCGCCGGCGAUUCCUCUCCACCGUCGCCUCCCUCGCCUCCAAAGGCUCCAACGCAUCCACCUCUUUCCACCACCGAUCCUUCUCCUCCCCUCCCUCGUCGGAACCAAACAUCCGCGCCGCGGCGGACACCCCCUCCUCCUCCCGCUCGCGCUCCCGCUCCAGCAGCACCACCUCCACCAGUACCGGCGUCUCCGGAAGCUAAACCGGAGCAGGAGGCAGAUGAAGCGCCCGGCGAAUCGGAGAACAUGGCGCUAGCCCUUGCGCUAACCCAAAACGAAGCAGUGAUGCCGCCGACGCCGCAGAAGGACGCGGUCAUGGCUGAAUCCCCGACCGGAUCUCCGCAGAAGGAGUCGGCCCUGACCGUAGCGAAGCUCCUCUCGGCCGAGGACCCCGUGGCAACGGAGGGCAAGCCGGCCGCCGACAAGGUAGCACCUGCGGUAGUCACCGAGUCAGUCGCCGGCGGCGGCGGGGGCGGAGGCGGAGGCAAAGUCGGAGUGGGCUCCAAGAGAUGGCUCCUUAGAGGGGUCCCAGAUAGAGUACGGCUCACGGAGCUGAAGAGGGCUGAGCUAGGGUUUAGGGUUUCAGCUGCCGUGUUCUGCUUGAUCUCGCUCUCCGUCAUGUCGGCUGGCACUACGCCGGGCUGGGCUGGUGACUCCUUCCGCCGCUACAACGAAUACAGAUACACUCUUGCUGCGAGCGUUAUGGCUUUUACAUACUCGGGGUUCCAGUUGGUUGCAGAAGUGCACUACCUUGUCACGGGGAGGCGCAUAAUUGGAGGACCCUGGGGGAACUACUUCAAUCUCGCCAUGGAUCAGGUAUUGGCUUACCUGCUGCUGUCAGCGUCUUCAGCAGCGCUUUCUCGCAAUGAUGUGUGGGUGUCAAGAUUUGGCGUGGAUCAAUUUGCCAAACUUAUCAAUGCCUCAGGCUCAAUGGCGUUCUUAGCUUUCAUUGCUCUUGGUCUGAGCUCCGUCAUCUCUGCCCAUCGUGUAUUCAGCUCAAUCCCUUAA
rnacentral:rRNA from 1 species